rnacentral:tRNA from 1 species
GGGGGAUUAGCUCAGCCGGCUAGAGCACCUGCUUUGCAAGCAGGGGGUCAUCGGUUCGAAUCCGAUAUUCUCCAC